rnacentral:rRNA from 1 species
CUGACGGAGCAAUACCGCGUGAGGGAUGACGGCCUAUGGGUUGUAAACCUCUUUUUUCAGGGAGGNAAUAAAUGACGUGUACCUGAAGAAUAAGCAUCGGCUAACUCCGUGCCAGCAGCCGCGGUAAGACGGAGGAUGCAAGUGUUAUCCGGAAUCACUGGGCGUAAAGCGUCUGUAGGUGGUUUAAUAAGUCAACUGUUAAAUCUUGAGGCUUAACCUCGAAAUCGCAGUCGAAACUAUUAGACUAGAGUAUAGUAGGGGUAAAGGGAAUUUCCAGUGGAGCGGUGAAAUGCGUAGAUAUUGGAAAGAACACCAAUGGCGAAGGCACUUUACUGGGCUAUUACUAACACUGAGAGACGAAAGCUAGGGUAGCAAAUGGGAUUAGAUACCCCAGUAGUCCUAGCCGUAAAC